GUGAACGAGGGAGGAUGUACGUUCUCCCUCUCGGCGCGUGUGGGUGACUGGGAGAAAGUUUUUGGUGUUCUUGUCUCACGUGUAAAAGAAAAUAAACAUGAAUUUGAUAAGUCUGAGGGAAAACACACCGCUUUUCAAUAAUAUUUCUGCUUAACGCGACUGAAAUAAGACCAAAAUAAUACUAAAACCGCUGUCGUAGAGAAAUAUUUAUGACACUAACUAACAUACGAAAUUGUAACAUGAAAUUGAUAAUUCUAAGAGGAAAAACAUCGCUCUAAAAUAACACUCCUGCUUAACGUGACCAAAAUAUAAGAAAAAAUAAUACAAGAUAAUAGUGAAACCGCUGUCGUAGAGGAGUUUUAUCGCACUAUUACGAACGUAAGAGAUUAUUAACAUGAAUUGAUAAGUCUGAGAGAAAACACAUCGUUCUAAAGUAACAUCCUAGCUUAACGUGACCGAAAUAUAAGAGAAAAAUAAUACAAAAUAAUACUGAAACCGCUGUCGAAGAGGAAUUAUAUCACACUAACGAGAGUAAGAAAUUAAUAACAUAAAACUGAUAAGUCUAAGAGGAAGCACAUCGUUCUAAAGUUAUAUUCCUGCUUAACGUGACCAAAAUAUAAGAAAAAAAUAAUACAAGAUAAUACUGAAACAGCUGUCGAAGAAGAAUUUUAUCGCACUAUAACGAACGUAAGAGAUUAUUGUAAACACUUAGAAGCUUAUUGCGCCGUUGUGUGUGUAAAGAGAUAUGGAAAGAUAACACGAACUUUGUCUUCCUCGGUGCCGGUGAAGAAAACUAUGUGAGAGAAAAAGAAGAAAAAAGGAAAAAGAAAAGAAAGUUGAAGAAAAUAGACAGAAAGUUUUGAAAGUGCAAAGGUUAGACUCAAGUUAAAGAAAAAUACAAAAAGAAAAAAAAAGAAAACAAGGCAAAAGAA